UUUAAAACCCCACUCUUAUAAAUUGAAUCAUUUUAUAUUAUGUAUGUAAUAAAUAAAGAUCACUUUCAACAACGGAUCUCUUGGCUCUCGCAUCGAUGAAGAACGUAGCGAAGUGCGAUAAGUAAUGUGAAAAAGUUAGGGGAUCGAAGACGAUCAGAUACCGUCGUAGUCUUAACCAUAAACUAUGCCGACUAGGGAUCGGAUGAUGUUAAUUUUUUAAUGACUCAUUCGGCGCCUUACGGGAAACCAAAGUGUUUGGGUUCCGGGGGGAGUAUGGUCGCAAGGCUGAAACUUAAAGGAAUUGACGGAAGGGCACCACCAGGGGUGGAGCCUGCGGCUUAAUUUGACUCAACACGGGGAAACUCACCAGGUCCAGACAUAGUAAGGAUU
rnacentral:ncRNA from 1 species